rnacentral:lncRNA from 1 species
CAGCUCCAAAGCCAGGGUGGUGGGAGGCGAGGGUGGCUGGAAGCGGAGGAGCGCAGGCUGUGUAGGAGUUCCCCGAGCACUGGGAAGGGCCCGGAGAGGAAAGAGGUCCUUCCAAGCGGAGGAAACAACGUGACCGACGGAAGAGGCAGGGUUGGGAUGAGAGCAGGCUGGAGCCGAGGGGCUCGGGCAGGAGCCAGACAGGCUAGAGCGGGCUGCAAGUUCCGGGGCCCGGCUGGAAGCCUGAUGGUUAGAGCCUGGUCCCAGCCAGGAAAUGAAAUUCUACAGGAGGGAGAAGAAUGGCGGGAUUCAGAGGUGAGGAGGCAGAAGAAGAUUCCAAGCUCUGGACCUCUGGGGGCCACUGGGAGAGUUGAAGGAAUUCAUGAACUUUUAAAAUACUUUAUUCUACAGAAGGAGAUCUUCUUAACUAAUUAGGUAUCCAGAGGAGAAAGUAAUGAAUCCAUUUUCACCUAGAUAUUUGCAGUUAUUUGAAUU